CCAGAACAAUGAUGCAUUAAUAUUUUUUAGAACACCCAAUAGUGGGGCUGAUGCCUGCUGUUCCCAGGCACUGCUGCUGUCCCUGGGAAGCAUCACCAUCACUCCGAGAGGGAGAGAGGCAUUCAGGCUUGGGUAUAAGCAGGAGGGCUGGAGAUGUGCUUGUGCUUUCCAACCAAGUCCUAGAAGAACAAGGGUAGUUAAAGUGGUAAUGACUGCACAUGCAGGGACACACUGGUGCAUGUAGGAACAUCUCAGCACCCUGUGUUUGUGCAGGUGUAUGUGGGACCACUGGGCUACCUUGCUACCUGACAAAGAUUUCCCCAUAGUGCAUGGUGCUGGCAGGGGGCACAGGGUCUGCCCUGUGUUGUAUCAGAGUAUGUCAGGACUAGUUUCUCUUGGGGAAAAAAAACUAACAGACUUAAGUGCCAUAGGAAAUGACCUGCUGCUUCUGCUGCUUCGGGGGGGGGAGGUAAUUGUGUCCCGGAGGUGUCUGCGGUCUGCAUUUGGGGGUAUUGGUUUGCAAGUCAGGGAAUGAAGCAGAAAUCAUCAAGAACCAGCUGGGGAUGUGGAAAGGGAGGAAGGCUUCAGUUUAAAGGCUGGCUGUGUCCUCAGGAGGGUGUGCGGGGGGCUGAUUUUGAGAUAACACCCAAGGGUUAUGUCAUGAGUGCUGUCGCACCUGUAAUUGCCUCCUUAGGAAGAGGCACGAGGAAAAAGGAAUAAAAAGAGAACUGGGAAAUUCUUGAGAUUCUUUCCGAUGGAAAAAAUGUCCGCUUACUGCUCAGUGUUAACAGCAGUGGACACCUGUGUUUAACUGCUGAGUGGCAGGCAGCAAGCCAGAAGCAAACUUGCGCUGCACGCAGGCAGGUUUCUGUGGCUGCCUCCUCCAUUACCACUCAUCUCCGUGUCUCUGGCCAUGACGAGGCUGGUGUCUGUGCUCAGUACUAGGACUGUGUCAUGGGAGCUCAGCUGGCAGCAUCCCUGGGUCAGGAAAUGCCUGCAGCCUGGCAGGGUGCAAUCAUGCAUUCCUCAGUCAGACUGUCACUGUGCUUCCCUCCCUCUACCUGCCUCCCCCAGACUUCUGCUUCAGUCAGUACGUGGAGUGAGCCCUGGUGCUUGGUGUUUUGCCCGUGUGGGAAGUUAGGAAGGAGGAAGAAGUGAGUUGCCCAAACCUGUGGGGUGAGUCAGUGGAAAAGCGACAUCCUGCUGGGUUGUGUUCCAGUGCUCCCCAGCAGGCACAUGCAGGGCCGUGGUGUGACGUGAUGGGUGAGCACUGAGAAGCCUUCCAGCCCCCGUGUUUCCUCAAGCUGGGGGUGCCUGGAGUCUCUACUCCGGGGUGAAAUGCCUCUGUGAGUAGCAGGGGCAUUUCGUCUCAUGAUGCUGCAACACAGCCCCUCAUGCCUGAGCCAUGUGCUGCUCACCUUUGCCUCCAGGGAAUGCCAGUCUCUUCGUGUGCUGCCUUUGUGACAUUGCUGCAUGGGGAUUUCUUAGUCAGAAAAAAAAAGUUCCUUCUUCUCCCACUGGCCCGUCCAUCACUCUCACUGCUAAUUCCCCAGUUUUGCAAGAAGGGGACUGAAAAUCAUCAUGAAGUUCAGAAUCAGCCCUCUUUUCAAAGAAGCCUCCGCCAAAAGAGGACAUGACUAAGCAAAAGAGGAAGCUUAACUGCAGCAAAAUUGAUCAGAGCAGACCUGAGAUGCUGAUCCCUUUGUGUUGUGCUCAACAAAGCAUCUAGCAGAAAUCCUGCAGGCCUCCACUGGGAUUCACCCGGCUGCUGAGCACCACACCUGCAUCUCCUCUGACAAAAUUGGGUCAGAUCCUGGAAGGUUCUGAGUGUAACCCAUUUUGGAGCUGAGGUGCUUCAGAUGUCUUACCUUCUGUUUCAGGAUACAAAAGCUAAAUGAGCAGUUUGUUGCAAAAUGAGACAGUUGGAGAGACCACCUGCUCUGAUGGAGUUCCCGGGGCAUUAUGCAAACCCUUCAAAAGAGAGAUCACUGCAACUACCACCACUGAGAUCCCCUGCUGUGAGCUGACAGCUACUCAACAGGAAACAACUACACUGCACAGGCAGCAUGCCUUUGCUUUUCCCGUGAGGAAUCUCUGGAAACUUGGAUAGGAUCCUUUGGCUCACAUUAGAAAAAGCAGACCUGUGCCCUCCAAGAGCCCUGCAGACCUUAACUCUGCAUUCCACCACACUUCUGACUCUCCACAGAGCUACAAGGAAGUCGAUUAUUUCCUCAUUGCUCUGGAUUCUCCAUCUGUCACUUUGCGACAUAAUAUUUACUUACCUUUUCCAAGCACUUUAAAUCUCCAUAGGAAUGCAUUAUAAAAGUUCAUUAGUGUUAUUACUGUUCUCCAUUGUGUAAUGUUGAAAAAUGGCUUGUGCAAGUCUGGCUCUUCUGUUCUUGCUCUGACCCCAUCCACUGUUCGGGUGCUGCUGCCUCCUCUGGGGACAGCAGUAACUCACCUUUGUUUUCCCAGUCUCUCUCUCAGAUCCUACUGAGUCUGAGAUAGGAUAGGAUCCUACUGAGCCUAAGAGAGGGACAACUGUCUAGUCUCCUACAUGUUGGUUCAGAGACAGGCAGAUCUGGAUUCAAAGGUUGCUGCUUUUCUUUCUGCACUACUGAUAAACAUGUCUGCAUUUGAGUUCCAAUAUAUAUUUUCACAGGCUCCAGUAUGACCUGUAUGAUCUCAAAGCUCCUUUUAUAUGGUGGGAAGGCUGAAGACCCUGUUGAGAAUGACUUUACCAAAUGUUGAUGUGCUGCUGACUCUGACCUGUUUUCUCUGCCACAGUGUUUUUCUGUUUAGUACAUAGUUACAUUUUUUUGUUCCAUUUUUUUUUCUGUCAUGCCAAAACACUUAUUUUCAGUGAUACAAAAGGCUGUCAAAACACCAGGUACUUGAACUGACAACACCAUGUUGUUGUCAUAGGAGCUUCUACUAAACAGGCUGGUGACCAAAGGUUGUGGACUGGUGAGACUCUUCCAUGCUCUUCUUCCUCUCCCUCUUCAUCCUUUUCGGAGGCAUACUGGUCAACACGCUCACCGUUUUAUGUUAAACAGCUGCCAUGUUUCAAGCCAGAGGUGACUGCAUUUCAGAGACAAGCAAAUGUACUUCUGUAUUGCUGCCAGACUGUGAUCUCAUGUACUUUAGCCUUGUGUUUUCAAAUGCCUCUACUGGAUGUUAGUGGUGCAGCUCUAGCCUGACCCCAGUGUAAAAGAGAUCUGAUCUAAUUCCGCUACCUUUUGGCAUCCAAAAAAUGUUAAGUAUAUAUUUUAGAAUAAUGUACAUUCUGCCAUCCUGUUAACUCCUGUUUCACAGGGACUUGUUCUCCCUCCUAGCCAAUUAUUUUGACCAGAAUUGGUGACUAAUGGAAGCAAUUUGUAGAAAGCAUGCUGUUCCCAACUGACCAACAGCAAACUGCUAAUGACUGACAUUAGAGUGACUGUUCUCCACAGAGGAAGAGUUGAAAGCCCAUUGCAUGCAGCACCAAUCACAUUAACAACAAAACAAAGCACCCUGAUACUGGCACCUGCCAUUUAUCCUGGCUACUUCUUGCCUCCUUCUGUGGCACAUCUGUAAUACCACACCAAAAUACACCAGCUGUGUAUUUGUUUAUACAAACAUGAAAUGCGAUUUAAAACACUUUGAUAACAUGACCUUCUAAACUUGAUGGACAAAAUAUUAAAAAUACUAAUUCACUGCAAGGAGCAAUUCUGCACUGCUUAGGAGAUGGUGCAUGGGACUUAGUAGAUCAUUUUCAUCUCUGAAAUUUCUGAGACGUGAUGAAUGGAAUUUCUUAGUAUUUGAAACAAGAGAGGGGUAUGUUUAAAAAGACUGGAAAGGACCGCAGUGUAAAAUCCUUGUAAUUCAAAAAAGGCAGUCUUGUUUUUUAUUGCCCUUGUGGGGGAGUCUCCUGUGAACCAAACAG